UGGGGAAUUUUGGACGAAUUGGGCGAAAGCCUGAUCCAGCAAUGCCGCGUGUGUGAAGAAGGCCUUCGGGUUGUAAAGCACUUUUGUCCGGAAAGAAAUCCUUGGCUCUAAUACAGUCGGGGGAGUGACGGUACCGGAAGAAUAAGCACCGGCUAACUACGUGCCAGCAGCCGCGGUAAUACGUAGGGUGCAAGCGUUAAUCGGAAUUACUGGGCGUAAAGCGUGCGCAGGCGGUUUGCUAAGACCGAUGUGAAAUCCCCGGGCUCAACCUGGGAACUGCAUUGGUGACUGGCAGGCUAGAGUAUGGCAGAGGGGGGUGAGAAUUCCACGUGUAGCAGUGAAAUGCGUAGAGAUGUGGAGGAAUACCGAUGGCGAAGGCAGCCCCUGGCAAGUACUGACGCUCAUGCACGAAAGCGUGGGGAGCAAACGGAUUAAUNCCCUGGUAGUCCACGCCCUAAANGAUGU
rnacentral:rRNA from 1 species